CUGAACUAUAAACAAGGAGGAAAAGAACUCUCUCUCUCUCUCUCUCUGAUAAAUUUCGUUCAGAGACUUUCUCUUCUUUUAUCUAGUGGUUAUUGAAGAAUAUGGGUGGGGAUAAUAAACAAGGACUGAAGAAAAUAGGUUAUGUUGGCGGAUUCCUGCAGCUGUUUGACUGGAAAUCAAAAUCUAGGAAGAAGCUAUUCGCUAGCAAGUCUGAUUUAUCAGAACAAUCAAAGGGGAAAAAAGGAACUCAUGGAAAUCAUCCAACUACACGGUUUUAU